CCAGAGGAGGGAGAUCGCUCUUCUUGUAGGGAAUUUCUUUCCAGAGGAGAGCUGGAUGCGACCGCCCUGUCAGGUUUCUUGAGCGGAGGAUGCUUCAUCUCGGGGCUGCAGCUGCACGCAUUCUCGGGCAAAGCUGGACUCGACAGGACCUGCCCAGUAGCCAGCGCUCUGAUCAAGUUAUACGCGGGAAACGGACGUCUCCAUUACGCUCACCAAGUGUUCGAUGAAAUGACUCACAGAAGCACCGCUUCCUGGACAGCCAUAAUCGCCGGGUACGCGCAGAAUUCGCAGCUCCAAACGGCCCUGCAGCUGUUCAUCCAGAUGAAGCGAUCGAGCUCGAAGCCCAACGACUACACCCUCUCGAGCCUCCUCAGCGGCUGUGCCGG
rnacentral:lncRNA from 1 species